AAAAGGGUUGGAGCUAUGGCUCAGUGGUUCAAUGCCCCUGGGUUCAAUCUUGAUACCAAAAGAAAAAAUAUGAAGCUGGGGUUGUAGCUCAGUAUCAAUGGUGGAGCAUGUGUGUGCUUAGUAUGUGCAAGGCUCUGUUUGAUCCUCAGCACCAAAAUAAAUAAAUAAAUAAAUAAAAAGAAAGCCAGACACAAAAGAUCACAUAUUGUGAUUCAUUUACACAAAACAAGGGGCAAGGGAUGUAGUCCAGUGGUAGAGUGCUUGCCUGGCCUAGCAUGCACUGGUUCCUGGUGGGCUCUGGGUUUGAUUUCUGACACUGAAAAGGAAAAGGAAAAAAAUAGUAUAUAAAUCAAUUCACAUAAAAUGAACAGGAAAGGAAAACUUAUAGAGACAAAAAGUAAACUAUUGCUUGAAGAUGGGGAUGGGGAAGAGGAUUAACUGCAGGAACUUCUUGGAAUGCUAAAAACAUUUAAAAAUGGUAAUGGUUAUAUAACUCUAUACAUUUACGAAAAAUUAGUGAACAUUUAAAGUGGAUGAAUUUUAAGCUUUAUAAAUUAUGCCUCAAUAAAACUACUGGAAAAGCAAUGAUGUGAAAUGGAGGAAGCAGGAGGUGGUGACCAAAAUGUGGAAAUACUUGACUGUCUGUAGAUAUUCCAAGAAGUAGUUAUUGAGGCUCUUCUUUGUGCCCAAUGCUAGGCACACAAUAAUAGAGACUUCCAAGGAGCUGAUCACCAAGCAUGGACUACCACAUACAACAGAUGAGCAAACAGGCCUCUGCAUAGGGACACCAAGCCUACUCUGUUGUUGCAGGAACAAAACCUAAACUGAGACCUUAAAGGAUAGUUUUAGGGAGGCUUUGUGGAAAGAAGUGCCAUAUUGUGGUGUCCCUUCUGCCAUGAAAUGGAAUUUAGGUUUAUAUGAACUGUAAAACUAGAAAAAGAGAAUUCACUGGGGGAACUGAACUAGUAGUGUUAAUGAGAAAAACAUCUCUUUACCACAUACUUAGGAUAAUUCUAAGAUAACUGGAUUAAUAUUGCAUAAAUUUUUUGGUUGUGUACUGUUAUAUUAUUAUGAAAACGAGCAGUGCUGGACUUUGGGGUGAAGAGAAGUGGGCUCUGAGGCUAGUUGUGAGAGAAGAGUUCAAAGAACAGAACACAAAACAAACAAAAAGCAGAUGAGUCUUCUCACCAGUCUACUCUUCACCAUGGUUCUAGUGGAGAGAGUUGCUGCUUAUGUGGAAAGGCCUGGGAAUACUUUAUAAGCAUUUGGCCUUUCUCCCCCAGCACAGAGCCCUUAGAUAAUCUGGUUGCCUGAUUUAGCACAAGGUACUCUCUUUUAUGAUCUUCUGCUCAUUGCCCAUCAUGGUAGGUGCUGAGCUUUCCACACAUUGGACCUGGAGGCUAGACGAUUCUGUUGCUUCCGGAUUGAAGGUGAACCAGACUGAGUAUGAACAUCUGCUCUCAAUUCUUGACAGUACCACUGAUGACUCAGGGAAUUCUGGAGUUUUCCGACAGCUGAGUGAAGAGAAGGGGAAACCUGAGAGCAAUGGAGGGCUGGACAGGAACACAGAUGCAGCAGCAACAUGCAAAUGGAGUCUGCGUUUCCCCACCAGAGCUCAUCUGAUAAAAGACAUCUUUUCAAAAGCUGCUUUUGCUGUAUGUACACCUGGCAUUUCCCUUGUUUUCACAAGACUAUUCAUAUUUUAUCCAAUAUAUUUAUUCACUGAAUCACAGUAAAAAUAUGAUUUACUUAUAAUAGUUAAAAAAUAAAUCAGAAAAGAGCAAAAACUA